AGUGAACGCUGGCGGUAGGCCUAACACAUGCCAGUCGAACGGCAGCACAGUAAGAGCUUGCUCUUACGGGUGGCGAGUGGCGGACGGGUAAGGAAUACAUCGGAAUCUACUUUUUCGUGGGGGAUAACGUAGGGAAACUUACGCUAAUACCGCAUACGACCUACGGGUGAAAGCAGGGGAUCUUCGGACCUUGCGCGAUUGAAUGAGCCGAUGUCGGAUUAGCUAGUUGGCGGGGUAAAGGCCCACCAAGGCGACGAUCCGUAGCUGGUCUGAGAGGAUGAUCAGCCACACUGGAACUGAGACACGGUCCAGACUCCUACGGGAGGCAGCAGUGGGGAAUAUUGGACAAUGGGCGCAAGCCUGAUCCAGCCAUACCGCGUGGGUGAAGAAGGCCUUCGGGUUGUAAAGCCCUUUUGUUGGGAAAGAAAAGCAGCAGGUUAAUACCCCGCUGUUCUGACGGUACCCAAAGAAUAAGCACCGGCUAACUUCGUG
rnacentral:rRNA from 1 species